rnacentral:rRNA from 1 species
AUUGAACGCUGGCGGCAGGCCUAACACAUGCAAGUCGAACGAGUGGCGGACGGGUGAGUAAUGUCUGGGAAACUGCCUGAUGGAGGGGGAUAACUACUGGAAACGGUAGCUAAUACCGCCUACCAUCCGAUUUGCCCAGAUGGGAUUAGCUAGUUGGUGGGGUAACGGCUCACCUAGGCGACGCUCCCUAGCUGGUCUGAGAGGAUGACCAGCCACACUGUAACUGAGACACGGGCCAGACGCCUACGGGAGGCAGCAGUGGGGAAUAUUGCACAAUGGGCGCAAGCCUGAGACAGCCAUGCCGCGUGUAUGAAGAAGGCCUUCGGGUUGUAAAGUACUUUCAGCGGGGAGGCGUUACCCGCAGAAGAAGCACCGGCUAACUCCGUGCCAGCAGCCGCGGUAAUUC